AGGGCUAUAGCUCAGUGGUAGAGCGCCUCGUUUACACCGAGAAUGUCUACGGUUCAAAUCCGUAUAGCCCUA
rnacentral:tRNA from 2 species